AGGAUGGUGGAACAACGCUACUGACGCGACCAAUCAACGAGAUGGUUGUUCUUUUGCAAGAUAUAUAGGUAUAUGAAGAACAAACAGACUCCUCAUUCUUGUGUAAAUAGUGAUAUCUUCAAUAUCAGACGGGGAGUGUGCCGGAACGUUAUUCCGUGUUUGUGUCUAAAACUAUCGUGUGACUGCAUUACCUCCCUUGAUGAAAAAGCGGCAUGGUUCCAGAUUGAAAAGCUGUGACUUGUUUGUGACCGUUAUAUCGGAUGGUUGUACAUGUAUACCUACUAGUGACACUCUACCACAUUGUAUCCGGAGAGGCACCUCCGUAUUGUAAUAAUAGGCCCACCCAGUUUUUACGAGAUCCAAUAAAGAUGGAGCAGUAUCUUGAGGAACUCUGUUAUCUGUCUGUCCAAGUCUGAGGCAGAACAGUAAAAACU